UCCAGGGUAGCCUAGUGGACAUGGCAUCUGCCCGGUAAGCGGAACAUUGUGGGUUCGUUUCCCAUCCCUGGUC